rnacentral:lncRNA from 1 species
CGAUUCUGCCGAGUUUUCUCAGUGGCUAGGCUAUCCCAUCUACUGAAUCGGCUCCAUCCCCAUUGAUUUGGAUCGGCCAGCCGGAGUAUUGGCCUUUGGAUUUCUAAAUUGUGGCCCUAUUUUGAAGCUCCCCAAUCCUGAAUCAAAGGUAUGUGCACUUCCGUGGAGUGCCCCACAUUUUGAGGAUUUGUAAUUUUUGCAACAGAUUUUGUUCUGUAAUGCAUCCUUCAGCUGGAUGAAAUUUGUUAUUUGUGUUCAUUGUCGGCCAAGUAUUGUUUCGACUAUUAAGCUGUUCCAAUUUUUGUCGGUGCUUCAAAUCUAUUACAGAAAUGCUGCGACACUUCCUUUUCAAUGCAUCCUACAAUGCUUCCUGUAAACAGAGCAUCCAAGUAAACUUACCCCCAUAUUGGCGCUAAAUUUGUUAUGUUUACCCCUUUCGAAAUUACAUGCUUCCAUCGAAGACAAAAAAUGCAUUCUAAAUUGCACAGAUUGCACCCUAAAUUCCAUGAAUCCAUCACACAAAAUUGCUUCUUAAUUGUCCCCUUUUGGAUACUGUUUUUUCCAGGAAAAUGCUUCCAUGCCAAAAAUACUAACAGAUGCAUCCCCAUCCUGGCACCAAGCUUAUUUCAAUACCAGGCGCCGUAUUUGUACUGUCCAUAUUUUCGUGCUUCUGUAAUCCUUUAUGUCAUCAGUCAACAUAUAUAUACUCUUAUUUUGUAGUGCAUUGCUUCCAUACAACUAAUUCCAGAAGAGAGCAAAUCUAUCACUUCAUUCCUUACGAAUCAUUUUCUUACAG